rnacentral:lncRNA from 1 species
CCCGCCAGCCCCGCGCUCUACCAGGCAGAGCGCGUGUGGCCGCCGAGCACAUGGACCCACUGGUCAAGCGGGCUCGGCAAGGCCAGGAUGAAGAGAAGCUACGAACUUAGCAUUCCCAGAGCCCCCCGAGUGGAUAUCCGCGUGGAAAGGAUGUUGGCAGCCCCGGUGACCUCGGAGUCACGGCUGGAUCCACCCUCUUGUCUGAUUUUCUUAACUCUACUACGGUAAGAAGAUGCCCUCCAUCAGCAGGCCGUGUCUGCUGGGACCUCUCUGGAGACUUCCUGAACCCUGUGGAUUUACAGUAAGAUGCAGUUUCCUGGGGAGUAAUUCUGGUGGAUACAAAUUCCGGAGUAUUACACCUGGCUUGCCUGGAGAUGUUACAAGUAGCUGGAUGGAUUCUUCAGCCUGGAUGCCCACUGAAAACAAGGACCGAAACUAAGAGGAUUGUAUCUCUACCCUUGACUCAAUGAGAAUGUUUGUUGUCAUCUCUCGGGCUACCUGGAGCUCCCUCUAAAAUAGAGCCGAGUUCUGUCACCACAGACAUUGGCAGUGGCACUUGCAUGCCCCUGGCAAGCAGUCUAUCCUGAGGUGGAGGAAGUUGCCCUUGAGUUCUGGCUGGUAACCAGCACAGUAUACCCUUUAAGCGUUCCAGAAGGAUUUUGAGAUCCUUUCCUAAAUCAAAGGUGGAAUAUUUGGGGAUUUGGAAAAUUGAGCAUUUUUUUCCCCACUUGCUUGACUGUAAUGCUAACAUGCUCUCUCUGCUCCAACCUGGAGAAGCCAGUCUCUCAGAAGAACCAGUUGUGUUACUUUGCUGUGAGAUGCCUGCCCUAAGAGAGGAGCAGAAGGUCGGAACGGGUCCUCUAAUGUGAUAAUUAGAUGUGAAGCGUUGACUUAAGAGAUGCCAAGUAACUCAGCAGAUGUCACACAGACGAUAAAUAGCAAAGAUGGAAGUCUUCAUGCCGGAGGCAAUCCUAUAAGACAGCUGAGUUCUGCAGAGCUGGUAGGAGACAGACUUGCUCAGGUGAUAGAUCCAGCCAUGAUACUGACCCUAAGAGAAUGAGACGCUCUGCAGAAGACAGAAGAUUCCUGAAACUGGGAAAGGUGCCUAGAAAUCCUGAUAAGAGUGAAGAAGGGUACCUGGAGGCACAGCAGCCAUGUUGAACCUAUGAGGUGAUGAAAAACCAUGCAACUAGAAACCAGAAUGGAAGAAAAGAAGAAGCUGGAUCCUUGACUGAAUUGUCGAUGGGGGAUAGUCCAUCAUCCCAGGGCUAAGACCACCUCCAGAUUUCUUGUUUGGUGAAACAAGUCCUGAUUGUUUACAUUCCCUCGUGUUGAGCUGUCUCUUGCUUGUAGCUGAAAGCAUUUCUAAUAGAUAUUCAGAUUAUCAGCCUUAGCUCCAAGCUAGAAUACUCUAUGGGACCUUAGCUUCUCCAUGAAUUCCUUUGCUCAUCUGUGUAAUGCUCAAUAAAUGUAAAUUGAACCCUGAAUGAGGGACAAUGACACU